rnacentral:rRNA from 1 species
UACGGGGGGAGCAAGCGUUGUUCGGAUUUACUGGGCGUAAAGGGCGCGUAGGCGGCGCAACAAGUCACUUGUGAAAUCUCCGGGCUUAACCCGGAGCGGUCAAGUGAUACUGUCGUGCUAGAGUGCGGAAGGGGCUACUGGAAUUCUCGGUGUAGCGGUGAAAUGCGUAGAUAUCGAGAGGAACACCAGUGGCGAAGGCGGCUGACUGGUCCGGUUCUGACGCUGAGGCGCGAAAGCGUGGGGAGCGAACAGG